rnacentral:lncRNA from 1 species
UGAAAGCUCUAAUAAUUUAAUUAGCUUUUUUUUUUUUAAACAACAGCUAUUGAUCAAGGCUGUCAGCUGCUGUCAGAGGCAGAGUCCUUCCUAUUCACUGUCUCUAUCGACAAAGGAGGAGGAGGAGGAGGAGGAAGAGGAAGAGAGAAUACAGUGUUUCUUCCCAGCUGACUGAUAUGCCUCUGAUAUGCUCUGGAAGUCCACCAGGUGAAGGCUGGUGGUGACUUUCUCGCUGAGAAUGACAGCACUUCAUCAGUGGAGCAGCCCUGGCUCUCAGGAAAUCCACCAUCUGCUUACUUCUCCACUUUUUAAGGAACAGAAAAUCUGAAAACCAAAUAGUAACAAGAAAAAAAAAGAAAAAGAAAAGCCCAGACUGUCAUCGACAGACUGGAGCAGCGACCAUUUUCCACUUGUGUGCAUGAAACACAUCGACACAAGCUCCUGAACAAGGUUUACUGAUACUUUUGAGCAGCUGUGAAUCAAGUCAGUAGCACCACCGUGCUUCUCCACGAGCCAUCACGGACUUGGGAGCCAGCUAGCGUGAGGUUUGAUGGCAGGUGACUUUUGUGUUUAUGAAGAAUCCGAAAAAUACCUGGAUUCAGAUCUCAUCUUCCUUCACAGACUGAAUAACAUACUAUUCAAAAUCCUGAUGGAAACAUGACUUGAGGCCAAGCUUCUAGUAUAAUUUCAUUAACCUUCUUUCAAGACACUGGAAAUUAAAAAAAAAGUCUGCACAGAAAAUGAGCUGGCACCUUUCAUACUCAGAAUUAGAAUUAGAGUGAAUUAGUGGCAUUACAGUCUGGAUAUCAUUCUCCAGUACCAGUGCAGAUACCUGGAGAGAAGUCAAGAGCUGUACCACUAAAGAGCAUAUUAAACUAAGAUCAACGUGGAGAGUCAGGCAUUUGAUCUGCAGCAUCUCUUUAAAAAAGAAGAAGAAAGUGUUCACAUAAGAGUCAA